UAGUACAGGGCAUUGUGUGUAAACGAUUACGUUGUUUUGUGGAAGAGUAUGGCACAGUCGUCCAUGCCCUUCCAACUCCCAGCGGAGUUGUUUUGGCUCCCAGAAGUACAGUCUCACAACAAAGCAGAGUGCAUGAAUGUGGAUUUCUCUGGUUCGAAUGGGAAUAGAAGAAAUAACACUGAGGAAGUCGUGACUGAUUUAUUUGUGAGAAGUUUAUUCAAACUGAAAUCUUGAAGUAUUCUUAUCCCAGGACAAAAUUGGAGAGCAAAAGGCCACAUAUCUGAUAAAAACAAAACAGAUCCUGACCAGGGUCCAGGGUGAUGAAUAUGUAUACAUUCAAGAGGUAUAGAUAAAAAUAAUUAAAUAUCUACAACAUGAAAAUCUUACAAAUGAAAAUCUCUUUACCUAUUACCAAAGUGUUACAUGCAUAUGGAUGAAUGGACAGAGCAAUUUUAAUUGGCACUUGAAAGCGAUGUGAAAGUGCCUAAAAUGAUAAAACUGUUACUUCAGGUUAUACCUUGAGAGAUCAUUGUGAUUUUGGAAGUGGAAGACUUUAAAACUGAGCAAUAUCAUACCAUUCAUUACUGUGUUAGAAUAUGCUGCUGCUAAUAUCAUGAAACUAAUUGGAACUCAUGGAGAGGAAUGUUUGAACAGAAGUUUUAAAAUGGUACAAGAAGUUCAAGAUGGGAUGGCAGUUCAUAGCAAGUGAUGCAUAGUUGGUUCAUGUAAGGUCAACCACACAAGAUCAGAUUCCUUGUGCAGAUGAAAUAAUGAAUGAAGACAGUUAAAUUUCAGUCAUAGAAUUAGCAUCUCUGUUGUAC